UGGGGAAUAUUGGACAAUGGGCGAAAGCCUGAUCCAGCCAUGCCGCGUGUGUGAAGAAGGUCUUCGGAUUGUAAAGCACUUUAAGUUGGGAGGAAGGGCAGUAAGUUAAUACCUUGCUGUUUUGACGUUACCGACAGAAUAAGCACCGGCUAACUCUGUGCCAGCAGCCGCGGUAAUACAGAGGGUGCAAGCGUUAAUCGGAAUUACUGGGCGUAAAGCGCGCGUAGGUGGUUUGUUAAGUUGGAUGUGAAAGCCCCGGGCUCAACCUGGGAACUGCAUCCAAAACUGGCAAGCUAGAGUACGGUAGAGGGUGGUGGAAUUUCCUGUGUAGCGAUGAAAUGCGUAGAUAUAGGAAGGAACACCAGUGGCGAAGGCGACCACCUGGACUGAUACUGACACUGAGGUGCGAAAGCGUGGGGAGCAAACA
rnacentral:rRNA from 1 species